rnacentral:rRNA from 1 species
GACGAACGCUGGCGGCGUGCUUAACACAUGCAAGUCGAACGGAAAGGCUCCAGCUUGCUGGAGUACUCGAGUGGCGAACGGGUGAGUAACACGUGGGUAAUCUGCCCUGCACUCUGGGAUAAGCCUGGGAAACUGGGUCUAAUACUGGAUAUGACCUUUCUCCUUAUGGGGUUUGGUGGAAAGUUUUUCGGUGUAGGAUGAGCCCGCGGCCUAUCAGCUUGUUGGUGGGGUGAUGGCCUACCAAGGCGGCGACGGGUAGCCGGCCUGAGAGGGUGAUCGGCCACAUUGGGACUGAGAUACGGCCCAGACUCCUACGGGAGGCAGCAGUGGGGAAUAUUGCACAAUGGGCGGAAGCCUGAUGCAGCGACGCCGCGUGAGGGAUGACGGCCUUCGGGUUGUAAACCUCUUUCAGCAGGGACGAAGCGUAAGUGACGGUACCUGCAGAAGAAGCACCGGCUAACUAUGUG